rnacentral:lncRNA from 1 species
UUGUCUGCAGAAGGAGCUAAAACUGGAAGUGGAACCGCUUUGAUUAUCAUAGAGAAGAUAUGAUGAGAGAGAUUUGCAGAACACUGUGGGCUGCACAUCUGACAGCUGAUUGGUGCAUCCUGAUGUUAUGAAUACAGCAGAAGGGUGUGCCCUUGGACAGCGUGAAGGAAAGGGAAUGGUGAUUCUCAAGAAUUUGGAAUUUGUGGCUGGUUCUGGUCCAAGUUAGCUCAGACUACUUGA